rnacentral:rRNA from 1 species
AGAGUUUGAUCCUGGCUCAGGAUGAACGCUGGCGGCGUGCCUAAUACAUGCAAGUCGAGCGAGAAGUCACAUUACUAAUUCUUCGGAAGAAGUAAAGUGAUGGAAAGCGGCGGACGGGUGAGUAACGCGUAGGCAACCUGCCUCUCACAGGGGGAUAGCCAUCGGAAACGGUGAUUAAUACCCCAUAAAGUCAAAAUAACACAUGUUAAGCUGACCAAAGAUUUAUCGGUGAGAGAUGGGCCUGCGUCUGAUUAACUAGUUGGUGAGGUAACGGCUCACCAAGGUGACGAUCAGUAGCCGACCUGAGAGGGUGAACGGCCACAUUGGAACUGAGACACGGUCCAAACUUCUACGGAAGGCAGCAGUAGGGAAUCUUGCACAAUGGGCGAAAGCCUGAUGCAGCAACGCCGCGUGAAGGAAGAAGGCCUUAGGGUCGUAAACUUCUGUUCUUGGGGAAGAAAAAAAUGACGGUACCCAAGGAGGAAGCCCCGGCUAACUACGUGCCAGCAGCCGCGGUAAUACGUAGGGGGCAAGCGUUAUCCGGAAUUAUUGGGCGUAAAGCGUGCGUAGGUGGUAAUUUAAGCGCAAGGUUUAAACUAACGGCUCAACCGUUAAUUGCCAUGCGAACUGGGUUACUUGAGUGCUGGAGGGGAAAGCGGAAUUCCUAGUGUAGCGGUGAAAUGCGUAGAUAUUAGGAGGAACACCGGCGGCGAAGGCGGCUUUCUGGACAGCAACUGACACUGAGGCACGAAAGUGUGGGUAGCAAACAGGAUUAGAUACCCUGGUAGUCCACACCGUAAACGAUGAGCACUAGGUGUCGGGGUCGAUAGACUUCGGUGCCGCAGUUAACGCACUAAGUGCUCCGCCUGGGGAGUACGGUCGCAAGACUAAAACUCAAAGGAAUUGACGGGGACCCGCACAAGCAGCGGAGCAUGUGGUUUAAUUCGAAGCAACGCGAAGAACCUUACCAGGACUUGACAUCCCUCUGACAGGAACUUAAUCGUUUUUUUCUACGGACAGAGGAGACAGGUGGUGCAUGGUUGUCGUCAGCUCGUGUCGUGAGAUGUUGGGUUAAGUCCCGCAACGAGCGCAACCCUUGUUGUCAGUUACUAACAUUAAGUUGAGGACUCUGACGAGACUGCCGAGGUUAACUCGGAGGAAGGUGGGGAUGACGUCAAAUCAUCAUGCCCCUUAUGUUCUGGGCUACACACGUGCUACAAUGGUCGGUACAGAGAGAAGCAAAGCAGCGAUGCGGAGCAAAACAUAAAAACCGAUCUCAGUUCGGACUGCAGGCUGAAACUCGCCUGCACGAAGAUGGAGUUGCUAGUAAUCGCAGAUCAGAAUGCUGCGGUGAAUGCGUUCCCGGGUCUUGUACACACCGCCCGUCACACCAUGGAAGUUGGGGGUGCCCGAAGUUGGACAAAAACAGUUUACCUAAGGCAAAUCCGAUGACUGGGGUGAAGUCGUAACAAGGUAGCCGUAGGAGAACCUGCGGCUGGAUCA